rnacentral:lncRNA from 1 species
CUUCAAAAAAAGCUCUCUCUCUCUCUCUCUCUCUCUCUCAGCCCUCUCUCUGCCUGGGGAUUUCCGGUGAGAUUCCGGCGCUGUACCUCCGCUGUGUGCCACCGUCGUCGGCCACCGUGUACGGUGGCCGGAUUUUUGAAAAAGGUAAAAUUUUUAGUUUUUUUGUUAAUAAUAUAUAUAUUUAUGUAAUAGAUUCGAAAGAAAAAAAAAGAAAAAAAAAGGGAAGAAAAGAACAGAAUUGAAAAAUAGAAAAAAUAAGAUAAAACCACCUCUUUUAAUACUCCGAUUUGGUCCUUUUGUAUGGAAUCCCUACGUUUUUGAUGUUUGAAUCCCUAUUUUGAAUAUUUCGUGUUUGUAUUUAUCAAAAAAAUUCCCCCCCUCCUUUUACAUUGAUUUUUAAUUUGGCUUUUAUAGCCAUGUACAUGGUUUUUUGUUUAUUAUUUGUUGUCACUUCCUUUCUUUUUCUUGCAGGUGCAACUUGCUGAUGGGACAAGGGUGGUGCUGCAAGAGGUGGAGCAGUUGGCCAACCUUGGCAAAGGCAGAUGGUUCGGCGCCGAAUGCUAGGGGGGCUAGGGUUAAUCUUUUUUGAUUUUGUUGUCUCUUUUGUUGGUUUGGGCUAGGGUUAAUUAAUUGG